AGAGUUUGAUCCUGGCUCAGGAUGAACGCUGGCGGCGUGCCUAAUACAUGCAAGUCGAACGCUUCACUUCGGUGAAGAGUGGCGAACGGGUGAGUAAUACAUAAGUAACCUGGCAUCUACAGGGGGAUAACUGAUGGAAACGUCAGCUAAGACCGCAUAGGUGUAGAGAUCGCAUGAACUCUAUAUGAAAAGUGCUACGGGACUGGUAGAUGAUGGACUUAUGGCGCAUUAGCUGGUUGGUAGGGUAACGGCCUACCAAGGCGACGAUGCGUAGCCGACCUGAGAGGGUGACCGGCCACACUGGGACUGAGACACGGCCCAGACUCCUACGGGAGGCAGCAGUAGGGAAUUUUCGGCAAUGGGGGAAACCCUGACCGAGCAACGCCGCGUGAAGGAAGAAGUAAUUCGUUAUGUAAACUUCUGUCAUAGAGGAAGAACGGUGGAUAUAGGGAAUGAUAUCCAAGUGACGGUACUCUAUAAGAAAGCCACGGCUAACUACGUGCCAGCAGCCGCGGUAAUACGUAGGUGGCGAGCGUUAUCCGGAAUUAUUGGGCGUAAAGAGGGAGCAGGCGGCACUAAGGGUCUGUGGUGAAAGAUCGAAGCUUAACUUCGGUAAGCCAUGGAAACCGUAGAGCUAGAGUGUGUGAGAGGAUCGUGGAAUUCCAUGUGUAGCGGUGAAAUGCGUAGAUAUAUGGAGGAACACCAGUGGCGAAGGCGACGAUCUGGCGCAUAACUGACGCUCAGUCCCGAAAGCGUGGGGAGCAAAUAGGAUUAGAUACCCUAGUAGUCCACGCCGUAAACGAUGAGUACU
rnacentral:rRNA from 1 species